UCAAUAAAUCUGACUCACAAAAGGGAAACAAGGGCUGACAAAAACCUCGUGAUCUGAAGGAGCUGGACCCUUCUCACAAGACCUGUUAAAGUUCUACCUUAUGGAUUAAGCCUGGCUCCAGCAGAAAUCAGAAAGGACUUUUUGAGAUG